rnacentral:rRNA from 1 species
GCGGGAAACAGUUCAAUCGCAAUGGCUUGAACCGGGUAAAAGUCGUAACAAGGUAUCUGUAGGUGAACCUGCAGAUGGAUCAUCG